rnacentral:rRNA from 1 species
CAGCAGCCACGGGAAUACGUAGGUGGCAAGCGUUGUCCGGAAUUAUUGGGCGUAAAGGGCUCGCAGGCGGUUUCUUAAGUCUGAUGUGAAAGCCCCCGGCUCAACCGGGGAGGGUCAUUGGAAACUGGGAAACUUGAGUGCAGAAGAGGAGAGUGGAAUUCCACGUGUAGCGGUGAAAUGCGUAGAGAUGUGGAGGAACACCAGUGGCGAAGGCGACUCUCUGGUCUAUAACUGACGCUGAGGAGCGAAAGCGUGGGGAGCGAACAGGAUUAGAUACCCCAGUAGUCCCUGUCUCUUAUAU